AGUGAACGCUGGCGGUAGGCCUAACACAUGCAAGUCGAACGGCAGCACAGUAAGAGCUUGCUCUUACGGGUGGCGAGUGGCGGACGGGUGAGGAAUACAUCGGAAUCUACUUUUUCGUGGGGGAUCACGUAGGGAAACUUACUCUAAUACCGCAUACGACCUACGGGUGAAAGCAGGGGAUCUUCGGACCUUGCGCGAUUGAAUGAGCCGAUGUCGGAUUAGCUAGUUGGCGGGGUAAAGGCCCACCAAGGCGACGAUCCGUAGCUGGUCUGAGAGGAUGUUCAGCCACACUGGAACUGAGACGCGGUCCAGGCUCCUACGGGAGGCAGCAGUGGGGAAGAUUGGACAAUGGGCGCAAGCCUGAUCCAGCCAUGCCGCGUGGGUGAAGAAGGCCUUCGGGUGGUAAAGCCCUUUUGUUGGGAAAGAAAAGCAGCAGGUUAAUACCCCGCUGUUCUGACGGUACCCAAAGAAUAAGCACCGGCUAACUUCGU
rnacentral:rRNA from 1 species